GAUGAACGCUGGCGGCGUGCCUAAUACAUGCAAGUCGAGCGAACGGACGAGAAGCUUGCUUCUCUGAUGUUAGCGGCGGACGGGUGAGUAACACGUGGAUAACCUACCUAUAAGACUGGGAUAACUUCGGGAAACCGGAGCUAAUACCGGAUGAUAUUUUGAACCGCAUGGUUCAAAAGUGAAAGACGGUCUUGCUGUCACUUAUAGAUGGAUCCGCGCUGCAUUAGCUAGUUGGUAAGGUAACGGCUUACCAAGGCAACGAUGCAUAGCCGACCUGAGAGGGUGAUCGGCCACACUGGAACUGAGACACGGUCCAGACUCCUAUGGGAGGCAGCAGUAGGGAAUCUUCCGCAAUGGGCGAAAGCCUGACGGAGCAACGCCGCGUGAGUGAUGAAGGUCUUCGGAUCGUAAAACUCUGUUAUUAGGGAAGAACAUAUGUGUAAGUAACUGUGCACAUCUUGACGGUACCUAAUCAGAAAGCCACGGCUAACUACGUG
rnacentral:rRNA from 1 species